rnacentral:rRNA from 1 species
CCUACGGGAGGCAGCAGUGGGGAAUCUUGCACAAUGGGGGAAACUCUGAUGCAGCGACGCCGCGUGAGUGAAGAAGUAUUUCGGUAUGUAAAGCUCUGUCAGCAGGGAAGAAAAUGACGGUACCUGACCAAGAAGCCCCUGCUAACUACGUGCCAGCAGCCGCGGGCAUACGUAGGGGGCAAGCGGUAUCCGGAUGUACUGGGUGUAAAGGGAGCGUAGACGGCAGGGCAAGUCUGGAGUGAAAGCCGGGGGCUCAACCCCCGGACGGCACUGGAAACUGCCAGGCUGGAGUGCAGGAGAGGUAGGCGGAAUUCCAAGUGUAGCGGUGAAAUGCGUAGAUAUUAGGAGGAACACCAGUGGCGAAGGCGGCCUACUGGUCGGUGACUGACGCUGAGGCUCGAAAGCGUGGGGAGCAAACAGGAUUAGAUACCCCGGUAGUC